rnacentral:rRNA from 1 species
GACGUAGGGUCCAAGCGUUGUCCGGAUUUACUGGGCGUAAAGGGCGCGUAGGCGGCUUGUUAAGUGUGAAGUGAAAUCUCCAGGGCUCAACCCGGAAACUGCUUUACAUACUGGCAAGCUGGAGUGAUGCAGAGGUUUGUGGAAUUCCUGGUGUAACGGUGAAAUGUGUUGAUAUCAGGAGGAACACCCAUGGCGAAGGCAGCAAACUGGGCAUCAACUGACGCUGAGGCGCGAAAGCGUGGGUAGCAAACAGG